AUUAGCUUUGCAAAUGUCUAAAAAAGUAAUUAAUAAUUAACUAAUACAAAGAAACUCUAUCAUCCAACUAUUUGUGUAUAUCAUGAGUUGCCACAUCAUCAACUUUAUUUUUAAAUUCAAAUUUUUUCCACCUUUCAAUUAUUUCAAAUUUUACUAUAUUAUACUCAAAUUUCAACUUCUCUGAUCUUCUUCUAAACUUUUCCAAAAU
rnacentral:lncRNA from 1 species